rnacentral:lncRNA from 1 species
AACAUUAUUUUAACUGGAAAAAAAAAAGGUUGCAAAGAAGGCCUGGGUGGGUAAGCAUUUCUGCUCUGAUUUGCUUUUGCCAGAUCGGUUUAGUCACUCAUUCUUAGUUAUGGACUUCAAGAGAGCCCUACCUUUGGCCCUUGUUUCCAGUGAGGAACUUGGAUUUUGAGUGGCUUUCUCAGUGCAGGUGGCAUUUUCAUGGUGGGCUUCAAGGGACUCAGAUUUAGGUGGUUGAAACCCGUGUAGUGAGGGAAACGUCAGUGACCUUCAUUUGACCUUCAGUGCACUGAAACAUCCUAUGGUUUGGUUAAGAUGGAGGUAGAGGCAGCGGUAAGCGGGUGCCAUGGGCACUGGGGCUUCCAUGUUCUACAAAGGCCCCAGAGGGCAUCUCCAGAGGUCACUUUGUUUUAUCUCUUUGUGGACAAGAAAUUUCACCCAAGUUCGUGGAUGCUCAGUGCCUUGUCCUCAAACAAAAGUGUUAUUUCCUCGGCCACCUCAAUUCCCCAUAUUGUCCUCCUUUCUGGAAUACCUUCUCCACUUGGGGCAUUCUAAAGAUAAGAAUAGAUGGAGGAAAGGUCGUGUGCCAACUUUUCUAAAACACCAAAGUCCUUGUGCUUUUUUUUGAAGGUGUCCCAAAGAAUCAUGGGGUGAUCCUUUCACUUCUUUUCUCACUAUUCCUAUCUUCGUCCUCUUAUUUUAACUUUCCUCAUUUUUCUUCUCUCUCCUCCUGUUUCUGUACCAUCAAGAAUGGGCAGGAGUGGGGAGCUGGAGUGUGCUACACCAGAGGCUGAGGAGGGAGGUUGGUGAGUUUGAGGCCAGCCUGGGCGACAUAGUGAGACCCUUUUUCAAAAAAAAAAAAAAAACAAAAUAAGAAAGGGGGCAGAUGUGUGGCUAGGCUACACAUAAAUAGUUUGUAUGUCUCUUUUCUCUUCCUUUUUCUUCCCACAUUUUCAUUCUUUUGGUCAAGUAGAAUCUGUAAUGCUCUGAAACUCUUGUCUGGUGACUUGGGUACAAGAACCAUCACAGAGAUUUGCCCCUUGCCCUGUAAGGAGUUUUUUGGGAGGAAGGUAAAUGGUAAAAAGUCAUUGGUUAAUAAAGAAGAAUGACUUUAUCGAAUUUGCUGGCAAAUGGAUGGGUCUUGAGACUAUUAUGCUAAGUAAAAUAAGCCAAUCUCCCCAAACCAAAGGUCGAAUGUUUUCUGAUAUGUGGAAGCUAAUCCACAAUAAGAGGCAGGAGAUACAAGUUCGGUGGCUUAGACAAAGGGGAAUGAGGGAAGGGAAGCAGGAGAGGAAAAGGAAAGCCAGUGGAAUGACUCUGUCAUGACUUUCCUGUGUACCUAUAUGAAUACACCACAGUGAAUCUCACCGUCACAUAUAUCCAAAAGACUGGGGUCCUAAUUGGAAUAACAUAUAUUCCAUGCUAUGUAUUUAUAUCAAAAUGGACUCUACUGUCAUGUGGAACUAAAAA